rnacentral:rRNA from 1 species
GACGAACGCUGCGGCGUGCCUAAUACAUGCAAGUCGAGCGGACCGAACAGGAGCUUGCUCUUGUUCGGUUAGCGGCGGACGGGUGAGUAACACGUGGGUAACCUGCCCGUAAGACCGGGAUAACUCCGGGAAACCGGAGCUAAUACCGGAUAACACCGAAGACCGCAUGGUCUUUGGUUGAAAGGCGGCUUCGGCUGCCACUUACGGAUGGGCCCGCGGCGCAUUAGCUAGUUGGUGAGGUAACGGCUCACCAAGGCGACGAUGCGUAGCCGGCCUGAGAGGGUGACCGGCCACACUGGGACUGAGACACGGCCCAGACUCCUACGGGAGGCAGCAGUAGGGAAUCUUCCGCAAUGGACGAAAGUCUGACGGAGCGACGCCGCGUGAGCGAAGAAGGUCUUCGGAUCGUAAAGCUCUGUUGUUAGGGAAGAAGAAGCGUCGUUCGAACAGGGCGGCGCGGUGACGGUACCUAACGAGAAAGCCCCGGCUAACUACGUG